AUCAGUAACUUUGCCCUUAUAGCCGCUCUCAUUCAAGAAUCUCAGGGUAGUUUCAGCAUUACUCUGCUAAGCUGGCUGAAGGGGCAUCAGAAAAAAGUAUCGGAAACAGAACCCUCUGCCCAGCUAGGGAGAAGUUUGGAUGUGAUCCAGGGCUACUUUGCUUCAGAUUGUUUAUAAUUUAAAAUUCCUGAUACCUCCUGAAGGCAAGAUUUGUGUACAACAGAGCUGCACUGGUAGGGAGCUACGUAAUACCUUCCUUGGCAGCAUUAGGACUGCUGUUGUUUUCAAUGUAUGAAACAAGACAUCCUGUUCCCAACACAAUUUUUACUUUUGAUCUUUCAUAGGGCUAAACUCUGGAAAACUCAGGGAAAACACAGACAGUAAGACUGACAUUCUCUUCAAAGAGAUCAGAAUUAGGAAUAAAGACAGGAAUAGCCUUUUUCAGCUCCAGUUUUUUUGAGAAAUUCAGGAUGUUGUCCUAAAUUUCAGCUUAGUCUCUGCUUGGCAUCAUUCUAGCUCCUGGGAUGCUACAUGAGCUACCCCUGUGCUUCCAACAAAGCCUUCAUCUCAGCUGAGCUAAAGGAAAGCGACAUAGAACAGCGAGUACAUCGAUCGUGGUCCUCCAGCAGAUUGCUGCUCUUCCAUUAACCAUCUCCUUGUGCCAGCACAGAGUACUGGAGCAGCACAGCCUGUAUUUUACUCUAAUUUUGUUUUAUUAUUUAUUUAUUUUCCUAGGACUGCCUCUUGUGCUGCUGUCAGUAUAACCACAGCUGUUCUCAUUCUGAAACAUUCAACAAAGUCCCGGGUGUUUCUUAUGUGGAGAUGCUAAUCAAGGUACUGUUUUGUGGAGGUAGUCUUGCUUUAAGAUAAGCAGCUCCUCCAGUGUUUGGGCUGUGUCACAUUAAUCAUAGGGCUGCUCUCUGUAAAGCAAACUCCUCUCUUUCAGCAGCCUGAGGAGCUCCGGAGGUGGGGAGGUGCUGCCUGUGGUCAGCUCUGCGCUGUGCUGCUCUGCUCUCUGGGAGGUAAUGGAAGCAUUUUCCCUCUGCUGAGCUUGUUACACAAUGGCACUUUGUCACUGAAUUCUGACUUCAUCAGCCAAGCACAAUCCUGACAGCUUAUGCGAAAAUCAUAAAUGGAUUAUGUGUAUUAAAAUAUUUUUGAUACUGAGAAAUGAAUGAAGAUGUCGCUAUCUGGGACUUUAGUUGUCCUGAACAAUUCAGCUG
rnacentral:lncRNA from 1 species